rnacentral:rRNA from 1 species
GUUGGCUUGGAAGCAGCCAUUCAUUUAAAGAGUGCGUAACAGCUCACUAGUCGAGCGAUCUGGCGUGGAUAAUAAUCGGGCAUAAACGAUCUGCCGAAGCCGUGGAUGUCGCAAGACAUGGUAGGGGAGCAUUCCAUGCGGCGUCGAAGAUGAGGGAUGACCCUUGUUGGAGCGCAUGGAAAAGCAAAUGUAGGUAUGAGUAACGAUAAGGGGGGCGAGAAACCCCCCCGCCGAAAGACCAAGGUUUCCUGAUCAACGCUAAUCGGAUCAGGGUGAGUCGGGACCUAAGGCAAAGCCGAACGGCGCCGCCGAUGGAAGAAUGGGUUAAUAUUCCCAUACUGCCUCAUGGAGUGACGUGGAGACGGAGAAGUGACAGUCCUGCCGGCUGACGGAAUAGCCGGUUGAAGGGUGUAGAUAUUGAUUCCCGUAGGCAAAUCCGCGGGGAGAGUCGAACCUGAGAGUAUACGGAGCGCUUGCGCAACGUAAUAUGGACGUAACCAUGCUCCCAAGAAAAUCCGCUAAACUUAUCCAUGCGGCACCCGUACCGUAAACGGACACACGUGGUCGGGUUGAGAAUACUGAGGCGCUCGAGUGAUUCACGGUUAAGGAACUAGGCAAAUUGACCCUGUAACUUCGGGAUAAAGGGUCCCAACGAGAGUUGGGCGCAGAGAAUAGGUCCAGGCAACUGUUUAACAAAAACACAGGGCUGUGCCAAAUUGAAAGAUUACGUAUACAGCCUGACACCUGCCCGGUGCUGGAAGGUUAAGAGGAGAUGUCAUCGCAAGAGAAGCAUUGAAUUGAAGCCCCAGUAAACGGCGGCCGUAACUAUAACGGUCCUAAGGUAGCGAAAUUCCUUGUCGGGUAAGUUCCGACCUGCACGAAUGGUGUAAUGAUCUGGACGCUGUCUCAACCGUGAGCUCAGUGAAAUUGUAGUAUCGGUGAAGAUGCCGAUUACCCGCGAUGGGACGAAAAGACCCCGUGAACCUUUACUAUAGCUUAACAUUGAAUUUGGGUAAUUGAUGUGUAGGAUAGGCCGGAGGCUUCGAAGCAGGUACGCCAGUAUUUGUGGAGCCGCUGUUGAAAUACGGCCCUUUGAUUAUUUGAGUUCUAACCCGCGGCUGCGGGGACACUGUUUGGUGGGUAGUUUGACUGGGGUGGUCGCCUCCAAAAGUGUAACGGAGGCUUCUAAAGGUGCCCUCACGACGAUUGGUAACCGUCGGCAGAGUGUAAUGGCAUAAGGGCGCUUGACUGGGAGACUAACAAGUCGAUCAGGUAGGAAACUAGAGCAUAGUGAUCCGGUGUUUCUGUAUGGAAAGGACAUCGCUCAAAGGAUAAAAGGUACUCCGGGGAUAACAGGCUGAUCCCUCCCA